GGUGGGACCUGCAAAAUGGCAAUUUAAAAAUUAGGGUAACAUGAGCAAAGGCAUUUAUAAUACAGAAUGUCCAGCAUCCACUUGCUAAACAUAUGCACAGUUUCUUGCCCAUGAUAACAUUGUAGUGUAAUGGUUUACAGAUAGCUGCAUAUCGGUCGAAGGACAUAACUGUCAGCAGUAGACAUUCCAUUGAGCCAAGAACUAAA